rnacentral:rRNA from 1 species
UACGUAGGGCGCAAGCGUUGUCCGGAAUUAUUGGGCGUAAAGAGCUCGUAGGCGGCUUGUCACGUCGGGUGUGAAAGCCCGGGGCUUAACCCCGGGUCUGCAUUCGAUACGGGCUAGCUAGAGUGUGGUAGGGGAGAUCGGAAUUCCUGGUGUAGCGGUGAAAUGCGCAGAUAUCAGGAGGAACACCGGUGGCGAAGGCGGAUCUCUGGGCCAUUACUGACGCUGAGGAGCGAAAGCGUGGGGAGCGAACAGGAUUAGAAACCCUGUAGUCC